AUGCUCGCUUAGGCAGCACUUAUACUAAAAUUGGAACGAUAUAAAGAGGAUUAACAUGGCCUGUGCGUAAGGAUGAUACAAAAAUUUGUGAAGCGUUCCAUAUUUUU
ensembl:snRNA U6 U6 spliceosomal RNA